CUCAGUCUAACGAGACCGUACCGCAAACCGACACAGGUGGGCGAGAUGAGUAUUCUAAGGCGCUUGAGAGAACUCGGGAGAAGGAACUCGGCAAAUUGGUACCGUAACUUCGGGAUAAGGUACGCCCUUGUAGUUUGACUGGCCUGCGCCAGAAGGACGAAGGGGUUGCAAUAAAUUGGUGGCUGCGACUGUUUAAUAAAAACACAGCACUCUGCAAACACGAAAGUGGACGUAUAGGGUGUGACUCCUGCCCGGUGCUGGAAGAUUAAAUGAUGGGGUGCAAGCUCUUGAUUGAAGUCCCAGUAAACGGCGGCCGUAACUAUAACGGUCCUAAGGUAGCGAAAUUCCUUGUCGGGUAAGUUCCGACCUGCACGAAUGGAGUAACGAUGGCCACACUGUCUCCUCCCGAGACUCAGCGAAGUUGAAAUGUUUGUGAUGAUGCAAUCUACCCGCGGCUAGACGGAAAGACCCCAUGAACCUUUACUGUAGCUUUGCAUUGGGCUUUGAACCAAUCUGUGUAGGAUAGGUGGGAGGCUUUGAAGCGGGGACGCCAGUUCUCGUGGAGCCAUCCUUGAAAUACCACCCUGGUUUGUUUGAGGUUCUAACCUUGGUCCGUUAUCCGGAUCGGGGACAGUGCAUGGUAGGCAGUUUGACUGGGGCGGUCUCCUCCCAAAGUGUAACGGAGGAGUUCGAAGGUACGCUAAUUACGGCCGACAUCGUGAUGAUAGUGCAAUGGCAUAAGCGUGCUUAACUGCGAGGCUGACAAGUCGAGCAGGUACGAAAGUAGGACAUAGUGAUCCGGUGGUUCUGUAUGGAAGGGCCAUCGCUCAACGGAUAAAAGGUACUCUGGGGAUAACAGGCUGAUUCCUCCCAAGAGUUCAUAUCGACGGGGGAGUUUGGCACCUCGAUGUCGGCUCAUCACAUCCUGGGGCUGUAGCCGGUCCCAAGGGUAUGGCUGUUCGCCAUUUAAAGUGGUACGUGAGCUGGGUUUAAAACGUCGUGAGACAGUUUGGUCCCUAUCUGCCGUGGGCGUUGGAAAUUUGAAGGGGGCUGCUCCUAGUACGAGAGGACCGGAGUGGACGAACCUCUGGUGUACCGGUUGUCACGCCAGUGGCAUUGCCGGGUAGCUAAGUUCGGAAGAGAUAACCGCUGAAAGCAUCUAAGCGGGAAACUUGCCUUGAGAUGAGAUUUCCCAGAGCCUUGAGCUCUUUAAAGGGUCGUUCGAGACCAGGACGUUGAUAGGCUGGGUGUGGAAGU
rnacentral:rRNA from 1 species